rnacentral:tRNA from 1 species
UGGCCCGGUGGUAGAGUCGCUGCCUGGCAAGCAGUAGAUGCAGGUUCAAGUCCCGC